rnacentral:rRNA from 1 species
CAAAAACAUCUCUUUUUGAAUAAAUAAAAAGUACCGCCUGCUCAAUGCAUUUUGUAAAUGGCCGCAGUAUUUUGACUGUGCUAAGGUAGCAUAAUCAUUAGUCUUUUAAUUGAAGGCUGGUAUGAAUGGUGAGACGAGAAAAUAGCUGUCUCUGAAAUAGAUUUUGAAUUUUAUUUUUAAGUGAAAAAGCUUAAAUGCGUUUGGGGGACGAUCAGACCCUCUGGAGCUUUAUUUGCCCUUUUGUUUACACUUAUUUAAGAUUAUGAAAUAGUCGGGUAAAUUUUGUUGGGGCGACAGGAAGAUUAAAAUAACACUUCUUUUUUAGAACGCUUUUAAGCGAAAUAUUGAUCCUUAGGGGGAGAUUAAAAGAUUAAGUUACCCUAGGGAUAACAGCGUAAUCUUUUUGGAGAGUUCUAAUCGAUAAAAAGGUUUGCGACCUCGAUGUUGGAUUAAGAAAUUGGCAAGGUGCAGAAGUUUUGUUGGAAAGUCUGUUCGACUUUUAAUUUCUUACAUGAUCUGA